GUUCCGCUGGUUCCAACUUCGUGUUGCAUAUUCUUAGGCCCGAUCUUGAGGCAGGAACUGAGUAGUUGGUGAACUCGCUCUAUGUUGUUCAUUCACUCGCGACACGGUUCCUGUCCCAAGAUCGGGUCUGUGAAUAUACAAAUGUGAUUUUUUUUAAUACAUUCUUACACCCACUCUUUUUUUCAAGUUCCAGCAUCCGUUUGUGAAUAUGACCUACUACUGCAAAUUCAUAAACUCGGUGUUGCAUAUUCUUAGGCCCGGUCUUGUGGCAAGAACUGAGUAGUUCGUUAACUCGUUACCCGGUUCUUGUCACAAGACCGAGUAUAUGAAUAUGCAAAGUCGCACUCCGUCGACACCAUCUCCUCCUGCCUCAAGGCUGGCAUGUCGGUGGCCUGAUAUGAUUUCUUGUGGAGAGACGCCGAGUACCACCAGGAAACCCUUGAAAUCCUCAAGCUCGCCAUCAAGUCCACCAAGAAGCUCUGGGCCGUCAUGCUUGACACAGUCGGCCCAGAGUUGCAGGUGGUGAACAAGAGCAAAGCCUCCAUCUCCCUGUUAUUCUCACCCCUUACCAGGGGCAGGAGGCCUCCUCACAUGUACUGCCAAUUAACUUCGCUGGGCUUGCUAAGGCUGUGAAGCCAAGUGCCACAAUAUUUGUUGGGCAAUGCUUGUUCACAGGCAAUGAGACUACUUCAAUUUGGUUAAGACGUUUCAGAAAACAAAGCCGAAUUUACAUGUCUACACUGGUAUCUCCGAAGUGCCUCGUUUUCAACGUCAAGAAUCGUCAGAUGCUCACCAAUCUGAACGGCCAUAGCGUUAUGUUCCUUAGAGGACUACUCGUUAAGGUGUUCCUACAAGAACUACCUGUUAAGGUGUUUGUUAGCUUUAUGGUUCAGUAUUUGUGUCCAGUAUCCACCAUGCAGCUGUUUCAUGCAAAUCCUUUUGUAUAACAAAUAUUCUAUAGACUCUUAGCUUUCUAAUAUUGCUGCUCUUUCCAUCUAAUAGAUUUGUCAGUUUAUAGUCAUUCCUAUAUUACUUACGCUACUGUUCCAGCGUCAGCAUCCCACUGCAGAUUAAAAGGGUGCAUUGUGUUUCUUAUUUUACUCUGAUUUAUAUAUGUGCAUGUGGCGUGGGUUAGACUGAA